UAGAGGAGUCUGGAGCUCCUUUUAAGUCCAAUAGAGGUUCUUGGCCGGGUGGGUUGAGCUGCUGGUCUAUGGAUCCCACACUCCUAUCCCAUUAUAUCCAGUCAUUCGCGAACGGAUCUCCAAAAAAAAGGAAAAAAGAGAAAUGAAGGAGACGCGGAGAUCGAAGAAAAAUUUGGGAUAGGCUUGUGGCUUGCAUAUGCCAGGAGCUUCACUUGCCCCUUUUGGUCUGAAUCCUGUUUUGGAUUGAAGGGAGCUCUACACUUUUCUUUU
rnacentral:pre_miRNA from 1 species